UUAAUUUACCGCUUUAGAAAAUGAGGAAUUGCCUUAUUUUGGACCUCUGGAAGUCACGUGUCGGGCCACUCUCAUGUGUUCAAGACCACGAGCGAUCGCCGACCGGGGAAAGAAGACGGCGAUGGCAGAGAAACUCGGAUUCGUGACGUCGCCAUUAGGGGUCCAAUAGAGGCAUUUUGAGGAGCUUAAAAGGAACUGGAAGAGCAACUUUUCCUUCUUGGGACGCAAGAAACCUCUCCCCAAAUGGACCGAUACUGAUGUCUAGGAGUUUAUUGCCUCCGAUCCGACCAAUGGCCCGCGGGAAUGGAGGUUCUUGAACAUUGGAAGCAGUUCUAAAAGAUUGAUAUUCCUAUAUUGGUGGGAGGAUAAAAAAUUAGCCCUCCACCCUAUAUUUGAUGCCCCAGCCAAAAUCAAGCACAUCAAGCAGCCAUGGACUUCAGUUGGCCGGCACCGGAGCCGGCCACUGACUAUGUCAGCCAACGACCACUUCUAGCAGCUCCACAGCAUAACAACCUGCUGCUGCGCCAAAUGUUCCUGCACAGCUACCAGUUCACGGUCAGGGAGAGCCUCAAGGGUCAGGUUUGCCGAAACCUGAAGGAGGCUGGUGAGGUCGGGAAGGCAAUUGUGGCGGAGAUUGUUGGCCGGGUGUUAGAAGUUGGGUUGAAGUUGCGUAAGAUGAAUCCGCUGUGGUGUUUCAGGCCCUACCACAAGAACUUCUACUUGGAAGAUGCAUAGUUUGCUUGAUUGCUCAUUAUUAACACCAAAACUAUGUUUGAGUACUCACUUGCGCUUCAUCUUCUGGUCUUAUGUACAAAUUCAGUUAUCGUGUUAGUUUUUUUUUUCUCUCGCUAUCCACAUUAAAAGAACUUCCAUAAUCAUCUUUGUCUUCGAGUCCAUUAUAGCGCUUUGUGCAAUCGAAGAGUUGAUGCAACAAGGUUGAUGCCAAGCAGGUCAGACAAGUCAAACGAGAUAAGGAGGUUGCUUUGUGGUUCGAGACUCUUAACGAGGGAACCAGCGAUAGACCGGGUGUGCAAAAACAGAUUAUGAGCCGGUCCACUACUUAAUUACUUAGCUGAGUAAUUACUGAAAACAUGUAAUCUUAAUCCAAAUUGGAUUUUAAUUUAUCUUACAAAAUAUCCACCUUA